ACGGGUGAGUAACGCGUGGGAACGUACCUUUUGGUUCGGAACAACUGAGGGAAACUUCAGCUAAUACCGGAUAAGCCCUUACGGGGAAAGAUUUAUCGCCGAAAGAUCGGCCCGCGUCUGAUUAGCUAGUUGGUGAGGUAAGAGCUCACCAAGGCGACGAUCAGUAGCUGGUCUGAGAGGAUGAUCAGCCACACUGGGACUGAGACACGGCCCAGACUCCUACGGGAGGCAGCAGUGGGGAAUAUUGGACAAUGGGCGCAAGCCUGAUCCAGCCAUGCCGCGUGAGUGAUGAAGGCCCUAGGGUUGUAAAGCUCUUUUGUGCGGGAAGAUAAUGACGGUACCGCAAGAAUAAGCCCCGGCUAACUUCGUGCCAGCAGCCGCGGUAAUACGAAGGGGGCUAGCGUUGCUCGGAAUCACUGGGCGUAAAGGGUGCGUAGGCGGGUCUUUAAGUCAGGGGUGAAAUCCUGGAGCUCAACUCCAGAACUGCCUUUGAUACUGGGGAUCUUGAGUUCGGGAGAGGUGAGUGGAACUGCGAGU
rnacentral:rRNA from 1 species